rnacentral:rRNA from 1 species
UGGGGAAUUUUGGACAAUGGGCGCAAGCCUGAUCCAGCAAUGCCGCGUGCAGGAUGAAGGCCUUCGGGUUGUAAACUGCUUUUGUACGGAGCGAAAAGGUCUGCCCUAAUACGGUGGGCUCAUGACGGUACCGUAAGAAUAAGCACCGGCUAACUACGUGCCAGCAGCCGCGGUAAUACGUAGGGUGCGAGCGUUAAUCGGAAUUACUGGGCGUAAAGCGUGCGCAGGCGGUGAUGUAAGACAGAGGUGAAAUCCCCGGGCUCAACCUGGGAACUGCCUUUGUGACUGCAUGGCUAGAGUGCGGCAGAGGGGGAUGGAAUUCCGCGUGUAGCAGUGAAAUGCGUAGAUAUGCGGAGGAACACCGAUGGCGAAGGCAAUCCCCUGGGCCUGCACCGACGCUCAUGCACGAAAGCGUGGGGAGCAAACA